GUCCUUUUGCACUCCGUGGAAGCUUUGUUCUUUAGCCCUUUGCGAUAAAUCUUGCUGCUCCUCACUUUUUGGGUCCGUGCUGCCUUUAUGAGCUGUAACACUCACUGCGAGGGGACGCAGCUUCACACCUGAAGCCAGCGAGACCACGAACCCACCAGAAGGAAUGAACAACUGCUGACGGUCCACCUUUAAGAGCUGUAACACUUACCGCAAAGGUCUGCAGCUUCAUUCCUGAAGUCAGCAAGACCAUGAACCCACCGGAAGGAAGAAACUCCAGACACAUCUGAACAUCUGAAAGAACAAACUCUGGACACACCAUCUUUAAGAGCUGUAAUACUCACCCUGAAGGUCUGCGGCUUUAUUCUUGAAGGCAGCGAGACCAAGAACCCACUCAUUCCGGACACACCACAACACUUGGCUAAUUUUUGUAUUUUUGGUAGAGAUGGGGUUUCUCUACUACAGCGGGGCUGGUCUUGAAUUCCUGACCUCAGGUGAUCUGCCUGCCCGCCUUGGCCUUCCAACGUGCUAGGACUACGGGUGUGAGCCACCACGCCCAGCUGAAAGUUUCUUAAUCUUAAGUGAGCCCUGGUAUGAGGUGUAGGUGUAAGAAUGCUUUUAUUGUUCGAUCAGACUUUAGGGUUUGAGAAAACCCAGGCGGGAUCUUAAUGGGUUUGUUUUCUCAUUCCAGCCCUCAUACUCAGGCACCGGUUUCUCCAGUUCUCUAAUGUUUAACUUAUGACUUCAUAAUUAUAGUAAAGGGUUAGUGGAAACUGUUCUGGUUGCUAAUGGAAACCUGGCCUGCUACAAUGGUGUCCCAUAAGUCUCUUAGGAUCUGUUUACUUUUCUUAAAUUGUUUUUCUAUUUCUCAGAUUCAAAAAUUUCCAUUAUUUUGCCUUCAAAUUUGUUAAUUCAUUCUUCUACUUGCUCAAAUCUCCCUUUGAAUACUUCCAGUGAAGUUUUCAUUUUAGUUACUGCGUUUUUCAGCUCCAGACUUUGUUUUAGGUUUCUUUUUAGCUCUUCUACCUUUUUAUUGGUAUUUCCGUUUUGACUUUCUUCAUCUUUUUUUAGUUCUUUUGGCAUCUUUAAGACAGUUUAGUAGAUCCGCCAUCAAGUCUGUUUCAGGGACAGUUUCUGUUUACUGUUUUUCCUUUGACUAGGCCAUAUUUUCCUGUUUCCUUAUAUGCUUUAUGAUUUUUUUUUGUCAUUGAAAAGCAAACAUUUGAAUACAAUAAUGUGAUAACUCUGGAAAUAAGAUUCUCCUUCUUCCCAAGAAAAGAGAAAAAGAAAAAAUGAAGCAGGGAGCGAAAGGUGCUGGCUUUUUAAAUCCCGCAAAGUCACUUGAGCUGGAGGAGUUUGCAACAACUGAGGGUAGGAUAAAGGCUUACCUCCUCAGCAGGACUCCUCAGAUGGGGCAUGAUAUGCCCUGUUCUUGCAUCUGCAGGAUCACAGAUGACAAAUUCCUCAUCUCAACACAUCCAUGUUGUUUUCUCUGUCUGUGGGUCGCACCUGACUUUUUAAAGCUUCAGGGCCUUUGCACAGGCUGUUUCCUCUGCUUGGAAUGCUUUCUGCCCUCUCUGCCUGGACAAUUUGCAUUCUUUUUUUUUUUUUUUUUGAGAUGGAGUUUUGCUCCUGUUGCCCAGGCUGGAGGGCAAUGAUGUGACCUUGGCUCACCGCAACCUCCGCCUCCUGGGUUCAAGCAAUUCUCCCACCUUAGCCUCCCGAGUAGCUGGGAUUACAGGUAUGCACCACUAUGCCCGGCUAAUUUUGUAUUUUUAGUAGAGAUGGGGUUUCUCCAUGUUGGUCAGGCUGGUCUUGAACUCCUGACCUCAGGUGAUCUGCCUGCCUUGGCCUCCCAAAGUGCUGGGAUUGCAUUUAUUUUUAAGGUUUUUGUCUAAAUGUUUCUUUCUCAGAGAGGCAUUCCCUAACCCUCAAUGUAGAUCAAGGCCACUUGUUAUAUGCUCUCACAAUGCCUGUCGUCUGUAGCUGGCCUUUUCAGCACUUAUCAUCGUGAUAACAACAUAGUUAUUUAUGUGUUUAGCUGUUCAGUGCCUGUCUCUCUCCCUCUGCCACGUUUUAUGAAGGCAAGAACUAUGGCUAUUU
rnacentral:lncRNA from 1 species